UACGAAGGGGGCUAGCGUUGUUCGGAAUUACUGGGCGUAAAGCGCGCGCAGGCGGUCUUCCAAGUCAGUGGUGAAAGCCUGGAGCUCAACUCCAGAACUGCCAUUGAAACUGUUAGACUUGAGUACGAGAGAGGUGAGUGGAAUUCCCAGUGUAGAGGUGAAAUUCGUAGAUAUUGGGAAGAACACCAGUGGCGAAGGCGGCUCACUGGCUCGUAACUGACGCUCAGGCGCGACAGCGUGGGAUCAACAGG
rnacentral:rRNA from 1 species